UUUUCCUCAUCUCACUUGAUGAAGACUGUGACCUCUCUUGAUAGUGUCUUGUCUUUCUACUUUAGGUAUGCAGUGUGAGGCAGCCCUCCAUUCCCAGCCCUUUGAAGAGGAGACUGCCAAACCCAAGGAAGGUGCGGGUUAGGCUAGUGUUGAUUCCCAGAUGAAGUGUGGACCGCAGCCUGUCGGAAGAAGUGCAAAGAGUUCAGGGACAUACAGCGGCCCACCCCAGCAUUAAAGGUACGGGCUUGGACAGGUUGCGUGGAAGAAGAGCAGGCCGACACCAGUAGGCAGCUGUUCUGCGAUGCAUUGCGGUCAAUCCCAGAGUUGCAGGUAAGACGCAGUGUGCACAUGUUGCACUCUGUCCACUUUCAGUCCUGUGUGUUUGUGUUAAAAGGUACCUUAACUCUUCUCUUUGCACAGUAAAGAGCACAGUCUGCAAUUUUAGUUUUAAUAACUCUAGGAAGUUGUUUUGAUG